rnacentral:rRNA from 1 species
GUAGGUCUUAGUGAUCCGGUGGUUCUGUAUGGAAGGGCCAUCGCUCAACGGAUAAAAGGUACUCCGGGGAUAACAGGCUGAUACCGCCCAAGAGUUCAUAUCGACGGCGGUGUUUGGCACCUCGAUGUCGGCUCAUCACAUCCUGGGGCUGAAGCCGGUCCCAAGGGUAUGGCUGUUCGCCAUUUAAAGUGGUACGCGAGCUGGGUUUAGAACGUCGUGAGACAGUUCGGUCCCUAUCUGCCGUGGACGUUUGAGAUUUGAGAGGGGCUGCUCCUAGUACGAGAGGACCGGAGUGGACGAACCUCUGGUGUUCCGGUUGUCACGCCAGUGGCAUUGCCGGGUAGCUAUGUUCGGAAAAGAUAACCGCUGAAAGCAUCUAAGCGGGAAACUUGCCUCAAGAUGAGAUCUCACUGGGAACUUGAUUCCCCUGAAGGGCCGUCGAAGACUACGACGUUGAUAGGCUGGGUGUGUAAGCGUUGUGAGGCGUUGAGCUAACCAGUACUAAUUGCCCGUGAGGCUUGACCAU